GACGAACGCUGGCGGCGUGCUUAACACAUGCAAGUCGAACGGAAAGGCCCUGCUUUUGUGGGGUGCUCGAGUGGCGAACGGGUGCGUAACACGUGAGUAACCUGCCCUUGACUUUGGGAUAACUUCAGGAAACUGGGGCUAAUACCGGAUAGGAGCUCCUGCUGCAUGGUGGGGGUUGGAAAGUUUCGGCGGUUGGGGAUGGACUCGCGGCUUAUCAGCUUGUUGGUGGGGUAGUGGCUUACCAAGGCUUUGACGGGUAGCCGGCCUGUGAGGGUGACCGGCCACAUUGGGACUGAGAUACGGCCCAGACUCCUACGGGAGGCAGCAGUGGGGAAUAUUGCACAAUGGGCGGAAGCCUGAUGCAGCAACGCAGCGUGCGGGAUGACGGCCUUCGGGUUGUAAACCGCUUUCGCCUGUGACGAAGCGUGAGUGACGGUCAUGGGUAAAGAAGCACCGGCUAACUACGUG
rnacentral:rRNA from 1 species